UGGGGAAUAUUGCACAAUGGGCGGAAGCCUGAUGCAGCGACGCCGCGUGGGGGAUGAAGGCCUUCGGGUUGUAAACUCCUUUCGACAGGGACGAAGCUUUUGUGACGGUACCUGUAUAAGAAGCACCGGCUAACUACGUGCCAGCAGCCGCGGUAAUACGUAGGGUGCGAGCGUUGUCCGGAAUUACUGGGCGUAAAGAGCUCGUAGGUGGUUUGUCGCGUCGUCUGUGAAAUUCCGGGGCUUAACUCCGGGCGUGCAGGCGAUACGGGCUGACUUGAGUGCUGUAGGGGAGACUGGAAUUCCUGGUGUAGCGGUGAAAUGCGCAGAUAUCAGGAGGAACACCGAUGGCGAAGGCGGGUCUCUGGGCAGUAACUGACGCUGAGGAGCGAAAGCAUGGGUAGCGAACAGGAUUAGAUACCCUGGUAGUCCAUGCCGUAAACGGUGGGCGCUAGGUGUAGGGGGCUUCCACGUCUUCUGUGCCGUAGCUAACGCAUUAAGCGCCCCGCCUGGGGAGUACGGCCGCAAGGCU
rnacentral:rRNA from 1 species